rnacentral:rRNA from 1 species
AACGAACGCUAGCGGCAUGCCUAACACAUGCAAGUCGAACGAGACCUUCGGGUCUAGUGGCGCACGGGUGCGUAACGCGUGGGAACCUUCCCUUAGGUUCGGAAUAACUCCCCGAAAGGGGUGCUAAUACCGGAUAAUGUCUUCUGCCCAAAGAUUUAUCGCCUUUGGAUGGGCCCGCGUUGGAUUAGCUAGUUGGUAGGGUAAAAGCUUACUAAGGCGCCGAUCCAUAGCUGGGCUGAGAGGAUGAUCAGCCACACUGAGACUGAGACACGGCCCAGAAUCCUACGGGAUGCAGCAGUGGGUAAUAUUGGACAGUGGGCGAAAGCCUGAACCAGCAAUGCCGCGUGAGUGAUGAAGGCCUUAGGGUUGUAAAGCUCUAUUACCCGGGAUGAUAAUGACAGUACCGGGACAAUAAGCUCCGGCUAACUCCGUG